rnacentral:rRNA from 1 species
GACGAACGCUGGCGGCGUGCCUAAUACAUGCAAGUCGAACGCACUCUCGUUUAGAUUGAAGGAGCUUGCUCCUGAUUGAUAAACAUUUGAGUGAGUGGCGGACGGGUGAGUAACACGUGGGUAACCUGCCCUAAAGUGGGGGAUAAUAUUUGGAAACAGAUGCUAAUACCGCAUAAAACCUAAACACCGCAUGGUGUAGGGUUGAAAGAUGGUUUCGGCUAUCACUUUAGGAUGGACCCGCGGUGCAUUAGUUAGUUGGUGAGGUAAAGGCUCACCAAGACCGUGAUGCAUAGCCGACCUGAGAGGGUAAUCGGCCACACUGGGACUGAGACACGGUCCAGACCCCUACGGGAGGCUGCAGUAGGGAAUCUUCCACAAUGGACGAAAGUCUGAUGGAGCAACGCCGCGUGAGUGAAGAAGGUUUUCGAUCGUAAAACUCUGUUGUUGGAGAAGAAUGUAUCUGAUAGUAACUGAUCAGGUAGUGACGGUAUCCAACCAGAAAGCCACGG